rnacentral:lncRNA from 1 species
CUCAUUACAGCAUCCUGAGAGAGAAGCAUGGGUUUAGGGUUGGUUUUUCACAGUGGGGAAAAAAGAUUACGUCACAAUCCUGAAGCGGCAUACGUUUCUAUAUUUCAAAAAAACUGAUUUCUGUUUUUGAAUUGAUUUUCAUAGUUGCUGGCCAGUCACAUAAAGACUUUGUACCCGAAACAACUGGGCUGUGCAGGUGUGAAUCUGAAGUGCGGUCCUAGGAAUCUAAAUACCAGUAUCGCGUUAGGACAUGGUGCAGCAUGUCACUUUGUUCCAGACAGCUAACCAAAGAAGCACUCCACAAAUAUUUGUUGACCUGGAGUGACAUUAUCCCUCUGAAGUAUUGUCCCCUCCAAACUGGCUACCUUCAAGCCUUGUGCUUUUAAACCAAUGUGUUAAGCUGCUCUAUAUAUUUUCUGUGAAAAUCAUAUCUAAAGUGUAAGUACUUAGGACUGGUGACGUUUUGCUCACUAAAUGUGGAAUUCAAUUUGGAGAUAAUGUUUUUUGUUUGUUUUGUUUUGUUUUGUUUUCAGGGAGAAGUUUGUGAAGCCCUGUGGAGCAAUAGCCAGGCCCACAACAGUAGAAGCCAGAAAUAGAGAUUAUACCAGCAGAGACACUACCCCCUUUGACUUAUAGGGAAAGAGCAAAUGGGACAAAAUGAAGGCCGGCUCUUGGACUUCUUGGAUUCUCCAAGACAGGACCAAACGUACUUGGUUGUGAUAUGCACUGUUCCCUGGGAAAAUGGAAGAAUGAUGCCAAAUGGAGUUUCAUCUAUGGGAAUCCCUUAUGGCCACACCUGAAGGUGUUCCUCCAAGAGGCCUGUUUGGCUCUCCAGGCACAAAGGAGACGCAAACCCACAUCAGGUGUUGAGAUUGAUGUGAGAGAUUCCACAUGGCAAGAAAAUCUCAAAGAAGAUUCUAUUUCAUUUUUCUACGUAGAGGUAAAAAAAAAAAAAAUCUCAUCUCCGUUUUUGGAAGGUUGACUUCUUUUUCUUUCUAUUACCCAUCCUUUCACUGAAGGUACAGUUCCUCAAGAGACCAAUUUUUGUGAGGUUCCAAUUCCAAGCCCUCAUUUUCAU